rnacentral:lncRNA from 1 species
UGCAUGCGGGGACUGCGGGCCAGGCCUGUCCUUCUCCGGCAGGCGGAGCCGGCUGUUCCCACAGCAGAGGAGGAAAGGGCGUGUGCUGGGCUUCCUGUGUCUGGGCCGAAACUGGUGCAGCGUCACACCCAGCGCAGGCCCUGGGCCACUGCAAAUCACAGGGCCAGGAAAGCUGAAAAAGUUCAUCCAUCAGGAAGCCCAAAAGCCAGUUGUUACAAAAGCACGCGGCAGCUUUCUGGUUUCUGUAUCCGUCCUGUAAACCGAGCAUUCCUUUCCACCUCUUGCGCACUGAGCCGGGUGUCAUCUGCCGUACACAGUGAAUGACAGCUUUGAGUCUCUCCUUC